rnacentral:lncRNA from 1 species
GCACUCCCUUUCAUCUGCAUGAUAAUGAUUUUGCCUCAUCACUUCAUGAAGUGUCUGUGGGUGGAAACAUGAUGAAGGGAAUCAUAAAACAAGGAGCCACGUGAGAAGCUGAAGUAACGUGAACUAAUUUCAUAAGCAUUACGUUUGAAGAUGAUGUCUCGUGUAAGUUACCUGAUAAACAAUAAAAGGGAGACCCAUCAUUCUUCUGAGCCUCCUGAAGGAGCAGCUUCCUCAGGCACUGGAGUUAAACGACACAAAUUCAUCAUUACACAACCACCUCUCAUCCGUAUUUCACCUUCUGCUGCUAGGCCAGAAAUUCAGCCAUUGCAUUUCACUCACAGAGAUCUACAUUGCGGAAAGGCCAAUUAAAAGAGGAGCAGAGAAAUAAUGAAGGAGGGAUAAAUAAAUGGGUUAGCUGAAUGUUUAAAGUCA